GGAGGAGUCUUAUAACAAAUGCAUUAUGUGACAGUGGGAGAUGAAAGAGGGGGUGGAGUCUGAGAGAUGGGCCUUAAAAGAGGGUGGGCUGUAGGAGUGUGGGCCUAGAAGUGGGCGGAGACUUAUAACAAAUGCAUUAUAUGAAAUCCAGGGCCUUAAAAGGGAUUCAGAUAUAAUGCAUUGGUUACGACUGUGAGUGGGGGCGGAGUCUGACAGCAGGUGGUUGGAGUCACACUAUUAAUGCAAUAUGAGAUUGAUUGUCUAGAAAAGGGGUGGAAACUUGAAGUUUCUGGGGGUCUCACACUGUUAUUGCAUUAUAUGAGAAAAGGAGAUAAAAGGGGAGGAGUCUUGAAGUCAGGUCUCAAUAUGAAUGCAUUACGUGGGUGGGGUCUGAGAGUGUGUUGCCCAAAAGUGGGAGGUACCUGGCCCUGGAUGAGGUCAUGAAGGUUUGUAGGGGUGAUGUCAGAGGUGAGCACCACACCUAGCUACCACACACACACACACACACACACACACACACACACACACACACACACACACUAGACCCAAAUGCAUAUUUAUACAUGUGCCGAUGUCACGAUUAUCACAAGUACAAAUAUCACUGUUUAUGAUAUUCUCAGAUUAGCAUGUUUUCUCACACAGCUCCCUCAUGGCUUAGCCCUUAGCUUGCUAAUCUAAAUGUUUAAAAUCCAUGCAUGCAUUUUGAUAACAAUUUAUUUGACGCUUUUAUAGAACUUUCAUCAGCAUCGGUUACUUCUCGGAGAUACGACACUUGACACUUCACAUGCAUCCUGGAAAAUUGUCCUGAUAAUCUGUUAUGCGAUGUAUUAUGUUACACCAUGGGAAAAUACUCCUUCCUGAUUGGCAGGUGGGGACGUGUGCAUAUUUUUCACACGUUUUGCGCAGGAGCUCCCCAUUUUACAGUCGGAGUACGCUGCUACGAGUUAUUAAUCAGAAAUACACAAAAAGAGCCAAAUGAACCAAUCGACAUGUGAAUCUGGAGUGAUUGACAGUUGUAUUAGGUGUGAACUCUCUGAUAUGAACUGACCACUUGGAGGCCCCGCCCCUUUCUCUCCGUCUCAGAUUAGUCAUCUCUCGUUUCGUCUCUAUUUUCCUGGUUCAAAGACGUCUUCACUUUUUGCCACGGUAAACAAAGAGUGUGUAGAAAAAGAAAAAAGAAGAACAACCUUACGAAAUGUAUUGAUAGCAACAGUUUGAAACCAGCCGCAAGUUUAUUUUUAUAUCAUCAAGAAAUAUUUACGAAGCCUCUGAUUGUUUAAACGCUUCAGAGUAUCCUUGAUAUAAGCGUGUUAUCAAGGAGGCUUUAUUACACCAUCACUACCCAAGGAUUGUUUGGUGUAGGGAACCUUGUUAGGCAGUUUGUAAAUUUGGAAAUGACGUUAAAUUAUAGUAUUGUGAACGCGUGAUUAAAAACUUGCACAGUUACCGUGACAACAUCGGCACAUGCCUCAUACAGUAUAUAUUGUACUUUGCUCUGAUAUGAUGGAUUCAUUUUAUAUACACUGACUUCCUCUAGUGAAACAGGACUCACUUACUGGGGGGGAGGGGGGGGCAGUAUCUGGAGGAAUAUUUAAAGGUUCUAUGAAGAACCCUACAUCCUGCUGUUUUACCUGUAAUACAGGGUUCCAACCGUUCUCUUUUUCUUUAAAGAUGUAUGUAAUGUUUCAUUUUUGUUGUUUACAUUAUAUGCGGUUUUCUGAUUAUUUUUCACCCUGUGUUUCAGUACUGUCUUUAACACGUCCUCGUCUUUAACGCCUCCCCUCACUUCCUGUCACAUGAGGGACCACUUAAGCUGAAAAUCUCUCCACAGACACCUCACCUCACGUCUUACUUUAGCCGAAUAAAAAAUGGCUGCCUGCAACCACUCGGACCGAUUUCAGGAGCUUACAAAAAGGACUACGGCCCCUGACCCACCUCACAGAGGACUCCCCGAUGCACACCUACGACUGUACGACUAUCUCGCUUUGAGUUUUAAUGUUUUAGAUUUAAAAUGUAAAAAAAAAAUUAUAAUAAGAAAAGCUAGUAGAAUGAAUUGAUGCAAUCAGGUGUUCUCUCUGCGACUGUAGACUGCUUUUGCUGGCUGUGGUUUUUAUGACAGGAGAAGAAAUCGUUGAAAUAAAACCAAAUACAUGAAUGAACCUCUCGUCUCGUUUCCGUGAAUUUAAAAAAUAAUAAUAAUAAUUUAUCCAAGCUCAGAGCUGUUA
ensembl:lncRNA